rnacentral:lncRNA from 1 species
UUGAGCAAGGGAGUGCGUGUGUGGUGUAGAGUUAGAUAUUCAGAACUUUCUUCAUGAUUAAGGUUUUAUUAUUUUUAUUUGUUUGUUGUGGUAGAAUUAAGUAUUUUGUUUUCGUAUCGAAAUUACCUUGUUUUUGGCGGGGAUGGCAGCCCGAAUGGGGACACCGUCCCUGUCACUUCGGCACGGCUUCAGGUGUGUUACUGAAGCUACUGUCGCGGUGGAGGAGUUUCUGGUCGCCGUAGGAGAGAAGCCCUGGGAGGCAUCCAUCAGCGUAUUUUAAUGUACCUCUGGGGGUCGCUGCGGAACAGAGCGGAACGACGAGGCGACGGCCACCAAACAGCCAGUCAGACGAUCCCGCAGGUGAAGAAGCUGGAUGUGGAGAUCCUGGGUGGUUAUACCUGGUCUGCGGUUGUGAGGCCGGUUGGACGUACUGCCAAAUUCUCUAAAACGAAGUUGGAGGCGGCUUAUGGUAGAGAAAUUAACCUUCAAUUCUCUGGCAACAAUUCUGGUGGACAUUCCCGCAGUCAGCGUGCCAAUUGCACGCUCCCUCAAAAACUUGAGACAUCUGUGGCCAUUGUGUUGUUGUGACAAAACUGCACAUUUUAGAGCGGCCUUUUAUUGUCCCCCAGCACAAGGUGCACCUGUGUAAUGAUCAUGCUGUUUAAAGUACAAAAGGGAAAAUAAAAA